rnacentral:rRNA from 1 species
GCCUACGGGGGCAGCAGUGGGGGAUACUGCACAAUGGGGGAAACCCUGAUGCAGCGACGCCGCGUGGGCGAAGAAGUAUUUCGGUAUGUAAAGCCCUAUCAGCAGGGAAGAAGAAAUGACGGUACCUGAGUAAGAAGCACCGGCUAAAUACGUGCCAGCAGCCGCGGUAAUACGUAUGGUGCAAGCGUUAUCCGGAUUUACUGGGUGUAAAGGGAGCGCAGGCGGCACGGCAAGCCUGAUGUUAAAGCCCGCGGCCCACCCGCGGGAUGGCAUGGGGAACUACCGGGCUGGAGUGCCG